rnacentral:lncRNA from 1 species
UGGACUGGUGGGAAUCGCCGGUGGGUGGAAGCCAUGGAGUUUUUCAGUGAUGUUGUGGUCGGAUCUGGUUCGGUUUGAUUGUGGUGGCCGGAUUAGUGCGCCUGCUCCGACAGUGGUGGUGCGUGGUGCGUUUGGGAGUAGUGUUCUCCGGUGAGGUUGUGGAAGGGAGGAAAAAGUGAAGAGGAAGGCACGUGGAGGUGGCUGAAGCCCCUUCACUGGAGCUCCGGCAAUGACGAUGGCAGUGAGGGAUAAAGAGAGAGAGAGAUGCAUGUGAUUGAGAGAGAGAGAUUAGAGGGAGUGAUAUAUUUGUACAUGUAUUUGUUGUGUGUUUUGUGUAUGUAUU